CCUACGGGGGGCAGCAGUGGGGAAUAUUGGGCAAUGGGCGCAAGCCUGACCCAGCAACGCCGCGUGAAGGAAGAAGGCUUUCGGGUUGUAAACUUCUUUUAUCAGGGACGAAGCAAGUGACGGUACCCGGAGAAAAAGCAUCGGCUAACUCCGUGCCAUCAGCCGCGGUAAUACGGAGAAUGCGAGCGUUAUCCGGAUUUAUGGGGUUUAAAGGGUGCGCAGGGGGGCUGUUAAGCCAGCGGUAAAAAUUCAGGGCUCAACCCUGUCGAGCCGUCGAAACUGGCAGUCUUGAGUGGGCGAGAAGUAUGCGGAAUGCGUGGUGUAGCGGUGAAAUGCAUAGAUAUCACGCAGAACGCCGAUUGCGAAGGCAGCAUACCGGCGCCCAACUGACGCUGAGGCACGAAAGCGUGGGGAUCGAACAGGAUUAGAUACCCGAGUAGUC
rnacentral:rRNA from 1 species